CCGGUCAUUUGCCUAUCUGUGUGUUCGAUGCUUUUAUAACCAAGGUAUGGCGUUGGCGAUCACGUUUAGUUUUUAAGUGCGUAGUGCGUGUUGCUUUCGGAAGCCAUUGGAUAAACGAUGUGUACUAGAAAUAGACAUGUUACGAGAAUCCAUUACAAUGGAUAUCUAAAAUAAAAUAUAUGUUGAGUCAA